rnacentral:rRNA from 1 species
CGAGCACGCGCGUGUGGCAUAUCAAUAAGCGGAGGAAAAGAAACUAACAAGGAUUCCCUAGUAACGGCGAGUGAAGCGGGAAGAGCUCAAAUUUGAAAUCUUAAAGGGUUUCCCUUGACGAAUUGUAGUUUAUAGAAGUGUUUUCUGUAGUGGAGUUCGGUAAAAGUUCUUUGGAAUAGGACAUCAUAGAGGGUGAGAAUCCCGUAUUUGGUCAUUCCUCCUAGCGUUGUGAUACACUUUCAACGAGUCGGAUUGUUUGGGAAUGCAGUCCAAAAUGGGUGGUAAAUUUCAUCUAAAGCUAAAUAUUAGCGAGAGACCGAUAGUGAACAAGUACCGUGAGGGAAAGAUGAAAAGAACUUUGAAAAGAGAGUUAAACAGUACGUGAAAUUGUCAAAAGGGAAGCGUUUGACACCAGUGUUGUUUUUCCGAAAAUCAAUUACGAAUGUUUUGUUUUUGAGGAGUUAUGACUUCAUCGGCUUGCUCCUUUCUUUAUGAAACUUUCUUAAUGCACUUUUCGGUUAACAAGUCAACAUCAAUUUCUUUUGUUGUAAAAGGGUAUGAGGAAGGUGGCUUUCUUUUCGGAGAAAGUGUUUAUAGCCUUGUGCCUCUGCAAUCGGAGAGAUUGAGGUCUGCAGCGUAGAUCCUUCGGGGUUAGAUACGUUUGUGCUAAGUUAUAGCUUUUCAUAGACAACUUGUUGACUAUGUUUAGUCUUGUAGCUUACUCGCUGACGCUAUUUUACCUACGCUUAGGAUGUUGAGUAGCGACAUACGCAC